CCACGGGUGGCAGCAGUGGGGAAUAUUGGACAAUGGGCGAAAGCCUGAUCCAGCCAUGCCGCGUGUGUGAAGAAGGCCUUCGGGUUGUAAAGCACUUUCAGUGGGGAAGAAAGCCUUGGGGCUAAUACCCUCGAGGAAGGACAUCACCCACAGAAGAAGCACCGGCUAACUCCGUGCCAGCAGCCGCGGUAAUACGGAGGGUGCGAGCGUUAAUCGGAAUUACUGGGCGUAAAGCGCGCGUAGGCGGUCUGAUAAGCCGGUUGUGAAAGCCCCGGGCUCAACCUGGGAACGGCAUCCGGAACUGUCAGGCUAGAGUGCAGGAGAGGAAGGUAGAAUUCCCGGUGUAGCGGUGAAAUGCGUAGAGAUCGGGAGGAAUACCAGUGGCGAAGGCGGCCUUCUGGACUGACACUGACGCUGAGGUGCGAAAGCGUGGGUAGCAAACAGGAUUAGAUACCCGGGUAGUC
rnacentral:rRNA from 1 species